GGAUUGUGGCUCAGUGCUAGAGCACUUGCCUAUGAUGCAUGGGGCACUGGGUUCGAUCCUCAGCACCA
rnacentral:tRNA from 1 species